UAAAUAAAACCUUAGAAAGGGAAAAGUGAUGUGAGAAAAAUAGAGCAGUUUAGAGAAGAGUUGUAUACAUUUGCAAUUUUUAGAUGAUGCAGAGCUUUUUGAGAAGUUGAAAUUUGAGAAAAGGCCUGAAGGAGCUGAGGAGGUGGGUGAGUCAUGAAUGCAUCUCGGGAAGGAGUUCCCCAGGCUGAGGGAGCUGCACCUGAGGAAACCCAGGAGGCAAAGGUGGUCCUGGUCAGGAUGAUGAGGAGGUCCGUGUGGCUGGAGCAGGUGAGCUAGGUGGAGAGAGGCCGUAGAUGAGGGCAGAGCUGCUGCGGGAGCCAAACGUGUAAGGAUCUUUUCGGGCAGUGAGAGGACGUUGGUUUCUCACAGCAGAGAAGGGACAUCAUCUGACAUAUUUUAAAAGUAUCUCUCCGGCUCCCUUGUGGACUGUAAGGGACCAAGAGUUGAAACAGGCACCCAGGAGGAGUCCUUCCAGCAACUGAGAGGACUUGGUCCGAUUCUACCUCCGGAACAAUGCUCAGCCCACAGCCCUCAUUCCCUCCGUGAUGAACAGUAACUGUGGACUUUUGACCUUCCUCUUGAGCUUGGUCUGAGUCUUGGCAUUUACAACCACGGCUCUAGACAACACCUAUUGGUCCUUUGAAACAACUCUCAGGCUUUACGUUCAUUCUGAAGACUUCCUUUAUGUUGACCUCCAUUCACUGCUACCCAUCCAUGGUGCCCAGGAUGUGGCAGAGGCAUAUAUGAUGUUGAGGGAAUAUUGCAGUUACACUUACCUAACUGAUGGCAUGUUGGGAGGAUGGAGUAGUACAAUUUAAGGAUUUCAUGCUGUAUGGAUCACUUCUUGUACCCUUUCUUACAUCCUCUUAGCCUACCUUUUGACUCCAGGCAUUGCUGUGAUAACUGUGUGAUUGUAACCUAUCAGCCUCUCCCUUCAGCUGCACCACCAAACUCUCGCUUUCUGACCUGGGGCUUCUCUGAGGCUGUUGUUGACUUUGCAGAAACCGGGUUAGCCAUUCUGCCCUAUGCACACACCACAAGUGGGAAUGAAUGAAAACCCCAUGGGGGCAAUGAUGGGAGCUGACGAUAGUACUUCCCUUGGCAUCCCUUAGAAAGACAUACGAGGGACUCAUUCGGCAAGGCAACCCAAAGCAUCCCAAGAGGGGGGCGCCUCACUUGCCUAUACCAGUGAUCAGCUCAGUAAAAGACCUCUGGAUUGGCUUUCCCUCCCCCUGUUUCAGUCUGCCUUGUUCUUUCCUCCUGUUCUUUGGAAUCAUUUCCCAAAGUAAACUCUUGUCUCAGGCCCAGCUUUUGGAGAGAACCCAGACUAAGACAGCUUAUUUAAAAUCAGCUUUACUCGGCCAGCGCGGUGGGUCACGCCUGUAAUCCCAGCACUUUGGGAGGCCGAGGCGG
rnacentral:lncRNA from 10 species